UACGACUACAUAUCAGGCAUAUCAAUAAGCGGAGGAAAAGAAACUAACAAGGAUUCCCCUAGUAACGGCGAGUGAAGCGGGAAGAGCUCAAAUUUGAAAUCUUAAAGGGUUUCCCUUUACGAAUUGUAGUUUAAAGAAGUGUUUUCUGUUGGAGUUUCGGUAAAAGUUCUUUGGAAUAGGACACCAUAGAGGGUGAGAAUCCCGUAUUUGACCGUUACUUUCCAGCCGUGUGAUACACUUUCAAAGAGUCAGAUUGUUUGGGAAUGCAGUCCAAAAUGGGUGGUAAAUUUCAUCUAAAGCUAAAUAUUGGCGAGAGACCGAUAGCGAACAAGUACCGUGAGGGAAAGAUGAAAAGAACUUUGAAAAGAGAGAUUAAACAGUACGUGAAAUUGUCAAAAGGGAAGCGUUUGACACCAGUGUUGUUUUCUCGAAAAUCAAUUAAAAAUGGAUUUGAUUUUGUGUUGUAUUGACCUUAAAAGCUUUCUUCACUUUUUUCAUGUUAUUUUUAAUGCACUUUUCGUUUAACAAGUCAACAUCAGUUUCUUUUGUUGUAAAAAGGUCAUUGGAAGGUGGCUUUCUUUUCGGAGAAAGUGUUUAUAGCCUUUGACUCCUGCAAUCGGAGAGACUGAGGUCUGCAGCGUAGAUCCUUCUGGAUUAGAUUCAUUUGUGCUAAGUUAUAGCUUUUCAUAGACAACUUGCUGACUAUGUUUAGUCAUGUAGCUUACUCGCUUGUGUAAUUUUACCUACGCUUAGGAUGUUGAUCUCUCACAGUCGAGC
rnacentral:rRNA from 1 species